rnacentral:rRNA from 1 species
CCUACGGGAGGCAGCAGUGGGGAAUAUUGCACAAUGGGGGAAACCCUGAUGCAGCGACGCCGCGUGAGUGAAGAAGUAUCUCGGUAUGUAAAGCUUCAUUUGUCGGGAAGAAGAAACACGGUCCCUGACUAAGAAGCCACGGCUAACUACGUGCCAGUAGCCGCGGUAAUACGCAGGGGCCAAGCGUUAUCCGGAUUUACUGGGUGUAAAGGGAGCGUAGGCGGCUGUGCAAGUCUGAAGUGAAAGCCCAGGGCUCAACCCUGAGACUGCUUUGGAAACUGUGGAGCUCGAGUGCUGGAGAGGUAAGUGGAAUGCCUGGUGUAGCGGUGAAAUGCGUAGAUAUUAGGAGGAACACCGAUGGCGAAGGCAGCUUACUGGACAGUAACUGACGUUGAGGCUCGAAAGCGUGGGGAGCAAACAGGAUUAGAUACCCCAGUAGUC